UACCAGCACCCCGAGUGGUCGGGACGAUUAUUGGGCCUAAAGCAUCCGUAGCCGGUUCUGCAAGUCCCCGUUAAAUCCAGCUGCUCAACAGAUGGGCCGCGGAGGAUACUACAGAGCUAGGAGGCAGGAGAGGCAAGCGGUACUCAGUGGGUAGGGGUAAAAUCCGUUUGAUCCAUUGAAGACCACCAGUGGCGAAGGCGGCUUGCCAGAAUGCGCUCGACGGUGAGGGAUGAAAGCUGGGGGAGCAAACCGG
rnacentral:rRNA from 1 species